GGACCAGUGAUUUAAUGGUGUGAAAAUUCCCGCCCACCUAAGAGGAGGUGCGGGUUCGAGUCCCGCCUGGCGCU
rnacentral:tRNA from 1 species